ensembl:lncRNA
UGCAAACCGCAUUGCGAUGUAAGCGUGCCACAAACCUCUCCCUCAGUUCACAUCUGCAAAUAUUAUUUCAUACUUGAGAGGGGCAAAGCAAGCAGCUCACGCUGGGCUGCACUGAGGACUGUGCCCUGUGCAGCAGUGCUGCGUGCCCUGCGCAGCUCCUGCCAAUCUGGAAACAGUGGCUGGCAGUUGCACCAUGACCACCACCCCGCACUGCACCUUCCUUGUCUCUUGGUGGAUGUCAUCCCUCGGCUUCUCCUCCUUUUUAUUUUUCCUUUCCUUUUCUUUUCCAGAUUUCCAGAUUCAGGACUGAAAAUGAAGCGUAAAUCUUACUGCCUAAUAACCACGGCAGUUACUUCAAUAAAAUGUUACUUAAAAGUCAAUGGACUGCACAUGUUAAAGACAUUAGAGCUGUUAACAGACCAUUGUAAACUGGCACAUCUCUACCACAGGAGCUCUUUUAGCCCUCUUCAGCUCCUCUGGGCUUCUCCUCCAGCACUGCCUAGCACAGCCGCCAUGCCAACUAUGUGGGGACCGCCAUCUUCCUGUGCAGAGCCCUCACCCACACCAUAGCUGUGUCCAGCCCUGCAUGACCAGCACCCUGCUACAGUACAGACCUCUGCCUCACAGCCAAACAACACAGCAGAUUCAUCUGAAGAAAUAGUUCACAUGCAGCCACAGACAGCAAAUAUUUGGAUGCCAUUUCACUGAAAAUGUUCCCCCUUUGAUCUGCUGACUUACACAGGUAAGUUAGACUACUUUUCUACCAUGAAGUCAAGCCUUAUCAAGUUUUUACAUUUAUUAUAGAUUUGUCUGAAAGGAUAGCAUCUUUUCUUUUCUUUUCUUGACCAGCUCCAUCUUCAUUGGUUGGCCAACUAUGUCAUUUUCUUACUGUCUUCAUGGAGAUUUCACUCUGUGAGAAGACAAUAUGUUUAAUUUCAACAUCCUACAAUUUUCUGUUCCAAACAGUAUUUAUCUCUGAGCUUUUCCCUUUUUCCUUCUUUCUGCCACUCCUACUUCAGUACAAAUCUGUGGGAAGUGCCAUGCACUAUUCAGGAUAGCUGCCACCUUCAGUUUUAUUUUCCUAGCAAAGCCAAAAUACUCCAUUUCUUUUCCUCUGUGCUGUUGAUUCCCAAGAAUAAGCUCCUGAUCCUGGGGUUUUCCAUAAGAACUCCUUCCUUCUCUUUUAAAUUUCCAGCAAGACUCUGCUUACUCCUUUUCUAUUUCAUUCCUUCCAUUAUUGAUGCUAUUACUAACCCACUGGGCUUUUAUGGUCCUUUUGAAUCAAUGGUAAAUUAUCCUAAAUACAUUUCCCUUUUUUUAUUUUCUACAACAUCUACUUUUUUUUUUUUUCUGUGUUGAUUAACAUCCAUUUCAUUUCAUUUCAUUUAGCUCUGUCCUCCUUGUUCUAAGCCUCCUGCUGUUUGAGUCUUUUGGCUUUCCUAGUGGGUAUAGUGGCCUUUCAAACCUUAAGGUUUCUUUAAAAUAGAAAACAUCUUUUAUUCCUUGUGCAUACAGCACCCUGGUAAGGUGAUUCCUGGAACAGGAGAGUCACACAUUUUGUGCCCACUGAUAGUAAAAGCCUUUUGUUUUCCAGCAGAAUAGCUCUCGGCUUACCACAAAUGUUAUGCCAAGCCACGGAGUUAUCUUAACAAAGUCACGAACUAUUACUUCCCAUCUCUUUUCUGAAGCUGCUAUAGUCUCAACAGACAGAAGUGGAUGAAUCCCAGAUUUCUGCAAUGCAACCAUUUUAAUGAGCUUAUUACUGCCAUUUAGAGGAGCCCCACAGCUGUCCCAAAGUAAUCCCUGAUUGUCUGAGAACUGAGUGAUCAGCCCAUGCCAUUUCUGCAGCCUGUUGGUUCUCCUGAGUCCUCUAUAGCCUCUGGUUUGGUCUAUAAUUUCUAAAUUUCUCUGUUGCAUGUAGUAAAGUUAAAAGACUUAAUAAAUCUUCUGACAGCUCCUAAAAACA